rnacentral:misc_RNA from 1 species
AACAUCGCGCACCUGCGGGAACCUGCGGAGGGAUCAUUACAGAGUUGCAAGACUCCCUAAACCAUUGUGAACGUUACCUAAACCGUUGCUUCGGCGGGCGGCCCGGGUCCUUCCCGGCGCCCCUCGGCCCUCGCGGGCGCCCGCCGGAGGUAAACCAAACUAUUGCAUUGUAUGGCCUCUCUGAGUCUUCUGUACUGAAUAAGUCAAAACUUUCAGCAACGGAUCUCAGAUCGGAAGAGC